UACGAAGGGUGCAAACGUUGCUCGGAAUCAUUGGGCGUAAAGCGCACGUAGGCGGCCUCGCAAGUUGGAUGUGAAAUCCCUCGGCUCAACCGAGGACGUGCAUCCAAAACUGCUUGGCUUGAGUACUGAAGAGGAUCGCGGAAUUCCCGGUGUAGAGGUGAAAUUCGUAGAUAUCGGGAGGAACACCAGUGGCGAAGGCGGCGAUCUGGGCAGAUACUGACGCUGAGGUGCGAAAGCGAUGGGGAGCAA
rnacentral:rRNA from 1 species